ensembl:misc_RNA Metazoa_SRP Metazoan signal recognition particle RNA
GCCGGGCAUGGUGGCACAUGCCUGUAAUCCCAGGGGAGGCUGAGGCAGGAGAAUUGCUUGAACCCAGGAGGCAGAGGUUGCAGUGAACUGAGAUUGUGAUCGUGCCACUGCACUCCAGCCUGGGUGACAAAGCAAGACCCUGUCUCAA